AUUCCAGAUACUAAGGCGUGUGUGUCUUCUAAUCAAAGCAUACUCGGUAACAGAAAACGAAGACGACUAUUUUUGGCUUGCUUACCCCAAAUAAACCAGAACAAUCGUGCCCGGCCAGCUGGACCAAACACACAACUGUCUAUCGAGGUAGCGGGGGAUGCUGGAGCCUAUCUCAGCUGCAUUCGGGCAGAAGGCAGGGUACAAACUGAAUAUAUAUUAUUCAAAUUAGAUCAGCCUCCACGGAGCUGUUCAAAGUCGGGACCCAGGAUGGACCACUCCUCUUUGCAUCAGUUGGUGACGUCUCUGCGCCCCGACGUGUCUACAUGCUAGAGGAUCCCCUGCUGGCCCCACUAUGGACUGGACUCUCACAUUAUUAACCGCAUCCACUUGGCAUCACCCACGGGGCGGGGGGGUCCCUUCCAAGGUUUCUCGUUGUUCCCAUUGGGUUUAGUUUUUUCUUGCCCUGAUGUGGGAUCUGAGCCGAGGAUGUUGUUGUGGCUUGUGCAGCCCUUUGAGACAUUUGUGAUUAAGGGCUAUAUAAGUACACUUUGAUUAAUUCAUUGAUUGAAUUGCAUACCGUUCUAUUUGUUAGAUCUUAUUAUUAAUUGGGGCAAAUGCUUUUGUUAAGUCCAUGAACACUGCAGUAGAACACUUUUUACCAUCUACUGCAUUGGUAAUUUUGUCUGUUAUUUCAAUUAAUGUCAUCGAUGUUGAGAUGUUUGCUCUGUAUCUGUAUUAGUUGUCCAUAUGCGAUCCACUUUUAUUUAUGAAUUUGUCACAUCUGUUGUAAAAUAACUUAAAGGACAUACAAUUAGAAGAACACAUGGAGCUUGUCUGGGGGAAACUUUGUCCAUUCAUCUAGAAGAAUGUUUAUGCAGUCAGAGAUCAUUGAUAAUGGACGGACAAUCACUUUUUAGUUUUUAGUUAAAUUUAUUUAAUCAUAAAGGUGUUUAACAGGCUAGGUUAUUGCGUUCUCCCAGACCAAACUCAUCCUUUAUGGAUAAGCAUGUCUUUAUGGACCUUGCUUUAUGCAACAGGGUAACAUUCUUGCUGGAACAGAAAAGGGACUUUGUUUUAAGCUUUACCAAAAUAUGUCAAACUUAUUACCCCAAGUGACUUUGGGUAAUAUAGAGCAAAUGCAUGAAAUUGUGGCAAUGGCUGUAAAGAAAACUGUGGGGCAAAAAAUUCCCCAGUACAUUUCAUUAAUAGACAAGAUUUGUUAUGAAGUUGAAAAAGUAUAGACUAAGAAGACUAUCUUAUCUUAAUUCCUGUUCUUUAUAAGAAAUACUUUCUUACCUUUCUCCCUAAGACUUGAAGAAAGACUUGCUCUGUCAUGAGUACAAGGAAGAGGUGGUGUAAAACUCCUUCU